UCCGGUUUGGCACCGGCAGUCUCCGAUGAGUCCCCGACAUAACUCGCCGGCAACAUCGGACAGGGGUUGCGCUCGUUGCGCCACUUAAGGCAACACCUCACGGCACGAGCUGACGACAGCCAUGCAGCACCUGUGUCUAGGUUCCCUUUCGGGCACUCCUGCAUUUCUGCAGGAUUCCUAGCAUGUCAAGCCCAGGUAUGGUUCUUCGCGUUGCGUCGAAUUAAACCACAUGCUCCACCGCUUGUGCGGGCCCCCGUCAAUUCCUUUGAGUUUCAGCCUUGCGGCCGUACUCCCCAGGCGGGGCACUUAAUGCGUUAGCGCCGGCACCCGGGGGGUCGCUCCCCCAAGCACCUAGUGCCCAUCGUUUACGGCGUGGACUAC
rnacentral:misc_RNA from 1 species